UUUUACGUUUACUUUUAAUAAAACAAAUAUUACUAAAAAUAAAAGUGACGUUAUUCAAAAUGGCCAACAAUAGUAAUGAACAAGUGUUUGAUUUGUUGAUAUACAAAUAAAACGUACACACGUUUCGAAUCAAUUGUUAUUAUUCAAGUCAUCGUAUCGCAAUUAUUUCCAACGAAUAAUUUCUUUCAAAAGAUAAAAAUAAGAGAAAACCCAAUGAUGUUAUCAUUAUGCUCGCGAAAGAUCAGCAAAAUAAUUAUCGCCGUUUCAUGGAGCAGGAUCUCCGAAUACCGUCGGCCAACCCCGCUCCCCUCCCAUUCGAAUUUUAAUUCACAGGAUGAAGGGGCUUUUUGUUCCUCGAAACUCGUCGACAGAUCCGUCGUACGCUGUAUUUCAACACCCUUUUUAAUAUUUCUCGGCUGCGUUUUCGCGCGCGCGCAGCCUAUUCGACAUUCCAUUUUUGCAAUCAACGGUGCCGCGCGGAGGCCCGUGUGGAGGUCGUCUGUGCGUGCGACCUAUCGCGUGCCAGAUGUAACGUCGAUCGUGACGUAUUGUUCUCGCACAAGGCGAAUUAGUUCUACGUAUACCCGGCGAGAAUUCACGGUUUGUUAAUUAAAACAAUACGCUCGGAUAUUGGGAGAAGGCGUGCGCGCGGGAAUUCAAAUUUCGCGCGCACAUGUCGCGCCUCGGCCUUUUCUUCCCCAUCACGGCAUUGUUGUCCCGCCUCGAGGGUGAUCGAUCCUUGCUUCGUGUGUCUCUAAUUUAUAUCAUUUUUCUCUUGGAUGUGGUGAUUUGGAUGGAGAGCUUUUUUUUUUGUUCUCGUAAUUAUUUUAAAGUAGCGUCAAGGUUCACGUUGAAUGGGUUAUAUGAAAGUAAAAAUGUAUGAAAGAGAGAAGAGGAAAGAGAGGAAAAGAUUUUGAUCGAAAAAACUUGGGUUCUAAAAGCGUUUGGUCUUUUGAAUGAAGGAAUGAUUUUUUGCUCGUGCGAUCUAUUUCCUUUUUAAACAAUUAUGUCGUCAUUGGAAUGAAAUAAGAAAUAUAUAUAGGUAUGUACAUUGACUGAUGGAGAAAUUAAGAAAGGAAUUAAUUUAAUUCAUAAAUUUCUUUGUAUUUUUUUCUUUUAUUUUUACCUGAUAUUUAUUAUACGAGCAUUUCUCGAAAAAAAUACUCAUUGAAUUGUAUAAAUUUCAUAUGUUAUCGUCCUAUCUAUUAUUUUUAGUUCCAACCUAUUAUUCUUAGAAGAUAAGAAACAUAAAUAAAUAAAUAUAAUUAGUUCCUUAAUUAUUUGUUAGUAAUUCUUUAUCAAAAAUCGAUGUCAAUUUCUUCUUCUUCUUUUUUUUUUUUUACUGAUUUAUAGUUUUUCAUAAAACAUACUGUACAUUAAACGCAGUUCAAUCGCAAAAAAUGAUGAUACAUAUCGAAUAUGCAACAUGUUGCAUACAUUAUACAAUUAUACUUUUUCGAUCAAACCAUUACUUUUAUAAUUUUAUUAUUACGUUUCAAUACACCUCUAAUUAUCUACUGUACACGACAACGAUGACGAACCUUCCACCAUGAAUGGAAAAUAUUAAUAUCGACGAGUUUCACACCGUACGAAUCGAAAAUUAAACUUUCCUUAACCACGGAACGAUUAGAUUUCAAUUAUUCGAAUCAGAAGCGAGCGUAUUCCCUCUAUUUAUACGCUCUCCAAUGGCCGUGGCGAGCCGGCACGUUUCCUAGCUGGACCUCAGAAGGCUGUUCAGUAUGCAAGCUCGGUGUGGGCGCAUCCGGUGGACGCCGUAAGCUCAGAAACUCACGUUGCAUUAUAUAUCCGGCUGUCGAUACGAGGCAGCACGCGUCAUCCCGUUGAUAAGAAUAGAAUAAUAGAAUUUUCUAUGAGCCCGUGACGACGUGGCCUGUGGCGGAGGGAGGGAGAGGGCGGCCUCUCCCUCCCGAGGGGGAGGGAGGAGAGGCGGUCGACGUGCGCAAAACGAAGAAAAUGCGCGCGGGGCCUUUUCCGGUCUGAUGAUCGACGACAAUCCUCUACGUGUCUUCUGCGUUUCGCGUAUAUCUUUCCUGUGGAUCUUUUUUCAACCUCGGUGCUCGUCUUUUUUCCUCUUCUUUUUUCUCUUCUUUUUCUUUCUCUCUCUUUCGCGUGUUCAAACUCGCCGCGCAGAAAUCCUCGCCGAUAAAAUGGCGUCACACGCAGGACGUGUCGCGACGCAAUCUCGUCUCCACCGCAAAACGCAAGGGAGAUAAUCGUAGCAGCCGAUCACCGGUGGUGUUUCCGACCUCUAUUCACUGUGUCAAUUUGUCGUGAGGGUGAUGUUUGAAUUUCUUCCUUGUAUCCCCGUAUCCACGUUUCUUUUUUUUCUUUUUUUUUAUCAUCUUCGAUGUGUAUUUGUGUGUAUCGAGUGUUGAAAAAUUGAUAAUGCGUUACAUCGUGUUUUUUUUUAUUUUCUCUCUCUUUCUACUUGGAGAAAGGGAGGUCUGAGAUAUCUUCGCAGGCGUGCAAUGUCAGAGGAUGCGUUUGAAGGAUAUAUAUAUCUGGUUCUACGAGUGAGUACAUAUUUGGAGAAUUGUCUUGUGACUCCUCUACACGAUAUGAUACACAAAGAGAAAGAGAGGGAGAAGAAAAAUUUCGAGAAAUCUGAACGAGCAGAGAAGAGAUUAAUAGGUUAAUCGGGCGUUCAAUGAAGGUGAAGGUUUCUCCCUUUUCGGGAAACGGGGAAUUUUCGAGCAACGAAAUCGAAUUCUACUCGAAGGCGGCGUCCACUUUACAAACCGCUCUUAAUUGGGACGUUCGAUGGUCAGAGGGUAUCCGGUUUAUUUCAAGCCGGAUUGGGAAGGCCGAUCCUCCGAUCGGCGGGGAAAGACACCGCCGUCUUAAUUACGCAAACACCGUAAUUUCGCUCGUUUAAUUGGAACGUUCGGGCUUGGAACGCGACGGAUUCCUUGGACGGUUUAAUUAGCGGCGCGGAUCUCGCGGCAACGCUUCGAAAGAAACCCCGUCCGUGGGGGAAAUCGAGGUGUUGAAAGUGUGAUCCUCCCGAGAAUAAUCUCUUUUGAUCGAUUAUGUAUGAAAAGGGAUGGAUGAAAAUGAUAUAUCGAAGGAAGAAUGAGAGAAAGAGAGAGAGACUCAUAAAAAGAAUUGUUUGAUUUAUAAAUUUAUUUGCGAGAUAAAAAAUGAUAAGAAGAAGAGAAAGAGAAAAAUAAUUGUUAUUGGUCACAGAAACGAGCAACGAUGUUAUACGAUGGAUAUAUCCAGAACACAAUGCCUCGAGUAUAAUCCUGAGAAAAAGAAAAAAAUCGGCGGCAAUUCAAACGGAAAUAAUACGUCUGAGAGUCGGUCACGCUCCCCGGUCUAAUCUCGCGAGGAUCUUCGGUAAUCCGAUUAUCAGCGAGAACGAGGGAGCAAAACAGAGAUCGGGCGAUUAGAUCUCGCGGGAGGUUUCUCGUGUCGUGGACAUUUCGAUUUUUCCAUCGUGGCACAGAGCUACACAGAGUACCGUAAGACGUUUCGAACGAGUCCUCCCCAGCUAGCCUCCUCCCGUUCCUAUAAGUUAAGUUAAGAUACAGAAUACUCUUUUCCUACUUUUAUUUCCUUCUUCGAAAAUAUCUUCGAGAAUAUGAACGAUCAAUUCGAAAUGUGCAAAAAGAGGUUUCUUUUUAUCAUUAUUACAUAUAGCACUUACAAUUAAACCAAACAAUCAUCAUACAGAUAUAAUACUCCUUUUCCAUUUUCCAUUUUUUCCAAAAAUAUCUUCAAAAAUAUGAUAGAUUAUAUUACAAUCAAUCUCUACAUUUUCCAAUUGCAAUCUACAUUCUCCUUCAAAAAGAAAAUUUCAAAAAGAAAUGUCGAACAAUGUAGAACAAUAUGACACAGGCUUCAUCGCAUAGAUUUUAAAUAUUCAUCCUGUGGCUCCAAAAGCGGGAAAAGGCGCGGUUGGGCGGCGAUGAUGGGGAGCGAUCACACCGCGCGGGAGGAACGGCAUUUCAUAUUUUACGAUCGAACCGUGCAAGGAAGGAGGCCAGGCUCACGAACCUGGACACCGCUCCUAGCUUUGAUGGGGGACAACAACAUCGUCUUCGGCCUCCUCGAGGAUCACGAUUCGGUGACGUGUGGCCGGCCCGGUAUCGGGAUAACGUCGUGUACGGCCGCAUAUAAACGUAAAGUUGGCGACGAGGGAGACCAAGACCGAGACCACGUUCACGAGGGCCGCACACCGUUUCCUAGUAGUUCUGGUAGUCCCGGGAUCGGCCGGAACUGGAAAACGGAUCGGAAAGCCUUGCUUCGUGGCCCGUGAAUCUCGAGAUAAAUAAACGCGGGCCGAGUUGCUCGUUGCCGGGCAACUGUUCCGCGAAAUCUUGCAUCGUUUUUGCAAGGGAAGAACGAGCGAAGUGUUUCUGGACCAAAGAAGAUUGGUUAAAAGGGUGUUUUAUUUCUUGUUGGAAUGGAAUUGAAGUUGAGGAGGUGCUUCCUUGUUUGAUGGAUCGAUCGAUCGAUCGAUCGAGGGAAGAAGUUGGGAGAUAAAUGUGGGAUGCAUAGGUAAUUUGAGGAUACUUUUUAUAAUUUCGAUGAUUCAACUCAAGGAGAAUUUUUGGAAAACAAAUUUUCUUUCCAGUUCAUUCGAAGAACGAGGUUCAUAGAAGAAAAUAUAUCUUCGUCGUUAAUCUAACGAGUUAUACGAAUUCAUUGACAGCAUAACGAAUCAUAACAUCGAAAUGAAGAAAGAAAAAAAAACAUAUAUAUAUAUGUAUACUGGCCAUUUAAACAGAAAUUGAUGCUUUCCACUUUAUUUUCGUAAAAAUCCAUAAACACUCCAAUAUAUUAAACGUCACUCACAAUUGACGUUUAUAAAUCUUGAUCUAAAAGCUGUGACUCUAAGUUAAUGUAUCAUUGACGGUUUUAUAAUCGCGUAUUGCUAUCAACCGUGUCAAAAUCUUUUCUCUGUAUAAUAUGGAAAUGUUGUAACGAUAUCGACGAGUCAUCGUGACAUCUCGCUUAAAUCGUUUCGAGUCGACAGUUUGCAUCGAAAGAUACUCGAUUGAUGUAUCGAUAUAUUCUAAAUAAUCCUAAUAGAGAAGAACUCUUUUCAAGAAACUACAAUUCUGUAUAACGAAUUUUAUAUAUCGUUCAAAAAUUCUUUUUUUUUUCAAUGAUAAUUUAUAUUUACCAACUUUUCCAAUUUUUCUCCCCUCAACUUAACUUAAAACGACACAAAAUGCAAAUAGCAUAGAUUACAAAUUGAUCGAUAUCGAACAAGUGGGAAAAGCACGCAUAACCAACGCCUGAAUGUACAUGAUUUAUUCAACGUUUAAAAAAAAAAAAAAAAAGGAAAAGAAUACAAAAAGCAAAAAUUUGAAACGCAAUGCAGAAGCAUGUCAUUAAGCAUUUUUUCAAAAAAACAAUUUUUUCUUCUUCUUCCCUUGGAGAUACGGUAAUUAUAGCAAUCUCAGGUAUAUCGAUCAAACGUCGAUAUAUUUUGAAUUAUCGAAUCCGUAUUUCGAUCCUUUCGAUUCGCGUUCAUGCGGAUCAAGAACACGUUCGCCCAACAACCCAUUCCAAUCUGACCGAUCUGGAUUCGUUCUGGCAACGAAUCACGAUAAGGGGGAAUAAAAUUCAUUCGGGAUUUAAGACAACCGCGGAGGAAAUUGUUUGCCUUUCUCGAAGCCACUUUAUCUCGGUUCUCUCGGUAUAUUCGCAGAAUACCAGCUCGAAACCUUCACUUUCUGCGAUCGUAGAUAGAGCAGGAGGUUUGAAAACGACACGUCACGACGAGACGAAUUAUUAUGUUCAGAGGCAGCGACGUUUCGAUCGAAACGAGUGUUGGCUAUUCUUGUUUUUUCUUUUUUUCUUUCUUUUUCGUUCGCAUCGAAUAUCUUUUGUACGUUAUUUUUCGUUGUUAUUACUUAAUCAAAAAAAUAUUUUGAUAAAUAUUUGUCUUUGAUCGAGAUUUACAUUUUUAUUUAAUAAUCUGGGAUUAAU
rnacentral:lncRNA from 1 species